GGGGGUGAUCUUGGUUUCGACGCGGGUCACAAAACCGUUGGAGCAUGUCGAGGUGCAGGUGCCUCGUUAAACUGUCUGCAAAAAAUUAGUUGCCAACGACGACAACUACGCCUUAGCGGCUUGACCGCUGAGCCUCGUGAUUUCCAUGUCUGAAUGGUAAGAAUCGGGGUCAAAUAAUUUCAGACUAGCUGAUAGGGAUUGUCUCGUACUCCUGUCAGCGAAUUUGAUGCUUCGGCAUUCGAGACCGUCAUACUCAGGACUGUUUACUCGGACAGGGUAUGACCGUACUAAUGGGUAGACUAAGCAUGUAGUCGCCAGCGCGCAGAGGGCUCUCGGACGCGGGUUCAAUUCCCGCCACCUCCACCA
rnacentral:tmRNA from 1 species